rnacentral:tRNA from 1 species
GGGGGCGUGGCGAAAUAGGUAGACGCACUGGAUUUAGGUUCCAGCGCCGCAAGGUGUAAGAGUUCGAGUCUCUUCGCCCCCACCA